UACGAGGGGGGCAAGCGUUGUUCGGAAUUAUUGGGCGUAAAGGGCGCGUAGGCGGUGCGGUAAGUCACCUGUGAAACCUCUAGGCUUAACCUAGAGCCUGCAGGCGAAACUGCCGUGCUUGAGGGUGGGAGAGGUGCGUGGAAUUCCCGGUGUAGCGGUGAAAUGCGUAGAGAUGUGGAGGAACACCAGUGGCGAAGGCGGCUUUCUGGUCUGUAACUGACGCUGAGGCGCGAAAGCGUGGGGAGCAAACAGG
rnacentral:rRNA from 1 species